AAGUUUUGCUCUUUUACAAUUUUCUAGAAGGAGUUCUAUAAAAGAACUCCCCC
ensembl:snRNA U7 U7 small nuclear RNA